rnacentral:rRNA from 1 species
UACGUAGGGUGCGAGCGUUAAUCGGAAUUACUGGGCGUAAAGCGUGCGCAGGCGGUUGGUUAAGUCUGAUGUGAAAGCCCCGGGCUCAACCUGGGAAUGGCAUUGGAAACUGGCUGGCUAGAGUGUGGCAGAGGGGGGUGGAAUUCCGCGUGUAGCAGUGAAAUGCGUAGAGAUGUGGAGGAACACCGAUGGCGAAGGCAGCCCCCUGGGUUAACACUGACGCUCAGGCACGAAAGCGUGGGGAGCAAACAGG